rnacentral:misc_RNA from 1 species
GAUGAAGAACGCAGCGAACUGCGAUAAGUAAUGUGAAUUGCAGAAUUCAGUGAAUCAUCGAGUCUUUGAACGCGCAUUGCGCCCCCUGGCAUUCCGGGGGGCAUGCCUGUCCGAGCGUCAUUGCUGCCCUUCAAGCCCGGCUUGUGUGUUGGGUCGUCGUCCCCCCCGGGGGACGGGCCCGAAAGGCAGCGGCGGCACCGCGUCCGGUCCUCGAGCGUAUGGGGCUUUGUCACCCGCUCGAUUAGGGCCGGCCGGGCGCCAGCCGGCGUCUCCAACCUUCUAUUUUACCAGGUUGACCUCGGAUCAGGUAGGGAUACCCGCUGAACUUAAGCAUAUCAAUAAGCGGAGGA